ACGCGUGGGAACGUGCCCUUUGGUACGGGAUAACAUCUGGAAACGGGUGCUAAUACCGUAUAAGCCAAUUUAUUGGGAAAGAUUUAUCGCCGAAGGAUCGGCCCGCGUAAGAUUAGGUAGUUGGUGAGGUAACGGCUCACCAAGCCUACGAUCUUUAGCUGGUCUGAGAGGAUGAUCAGCCACACUGGGACUGAGACACGGCCCAGACUCCUACGGGAGGCAGCAGUGGGGAAUAUUGGACAAUGGGCGCAAGCCUGAUCCAGCCAUGCCGCGUGAGUGAAGAAGGCCUUAGGGUUGUAAAACUCUUUCACCGGUGAAGAUAAUGACGGUAACCGGAAAAGAAGCCCCGGCUAACUCCGUGCCAGCAGCCGCGGUAAUACGGAGGGGGCUAGCGUUGUUCGGAAUCACUGGGCGUAAAGCGCGCGUAGGCGGUUUGAUAAGUUGGGCGUGAAAUCCCGGGGCUCAACCC
rnacentral:rRNA from 1 species